rnacentral:rRNA from 1 species
GUAAGGAACCCUUCCCCUGGGGCUGAUCCCUGGCCGACAGUCGACCGUGGGGUGCCAGAGGGGGGCAGGAGCUCGGUGAGUCAUUUUCCCGGUUCUUUGUCAACCUUUGGUUUACUCCUGCGUGUCGGCAGUGGCCCACGCCCACAAUGGGGGGGCGCAAGCCCGGGACUUGCCACCAGUGCACCUCUCGGCGUCCGCGACUGGCCUCUCGGGGCCUUUCCGCGUGGGCUGAGUUGGUAGCCGGCAAGUACCUUGAGCAGACAUGUUGGGACCCGAAAGAUGGUGAACUAUGCUUGGCCAGGACGAAGCCAGAGGAAACUCUGGUGGAGGUCCGCCGCGAUUCUGACGUGCAAAUCGAUCGUCGGAGCUGAGUAUAGGGGCGAAAGACUAAUCGAACCAUCUAGUAGCUGGUUCCCUCCGAAGUUUCCCUCAGGAUAGCUGGUACUCGAGGGUAAUUUCAUCCGGUAAAGCGAAUGAUUAGAGGUCUUGGGGACGAAACGUCCUCAACCUAUU